GACAGAGGAGCCAAGCGUUGUCCGGAUUGACUGGGCGUAAAGCGCACGCAGGCGGUCGCGCGCGUGGGGUGUGAAAUCUGGCCGCUUAACGGCCAGGCGCCAUCCCAUACGGCACGACUGGAGUGAUGCAGAGGUCGGUGGAACUGCGAGUGUAGAGGUGAAAUUCGUAGAUAUUCGCAAGAACACCGGUGGCGAAGGCGGCCAACUGGACCAUUACUGACGCUGAGGCGCGAAAGCGUGGGGAGCAAACAGG
rnacentral:rRNA from 1 species